CCUACGGGUGGCAGCAGUGGGGAAUCUUGCGCAAUGGGCGAAAGCCUGACGCAGCCAUGCCGCGUGAAUGAUGAAGGUCUUAGGAUUGUAAAAUUCUUUCACCGGGGACGAUAAUGACGGUACCCGGAGAAGAAGCCCCGGCUAACUUCGUGCCAGCAGCCGCGGUAAUACGAAGGGGGCUAGCGUUGCUCGGAAUUACUGGGCGUAAAGGGAGCGUAGGCGGACAUUUAAGUCAGGGGUGAAAUCCCGGGGCUCAACCUCGGAAUUGCCUUUGAUACUGGGUGUCUUGAGUAUGAGAGAGGUGUGUGGAACUCCGAGUGUAGAGGUGAAAUUCGUAGAUAUUCGGAAGAACACCAGUGGCGAAGGCGACACACUGGCUCAUUACUGACGCUGAGGCUCGAAAGCGUGGGGAGCAAACAGGAUUAGAUACCCGUGUAGUC
rnacentral:rRNA from 1 species